GGAUGCCACAGCACAGCUGAAGAAGAGCAUGAAUGAGGGUUCUGGGGCCAUGGCCUCUGCUCUGAAGAACUGCUUUUCCCACCUGAUGAAGAGUGAGAAGAAGGUGGUGGUGGAGCAGCUUAACCUGUUGGUGAAACGGAUCUCCCAGCAAAGUAGGUGUGGCAGAGGCCUGGGUGGGUACAGUGCCCAAGCCUGGGCUCCCAACACAGGCAGGGAUGAGGCCACGGAGACAGGAUUCCUGGCCCUUUUCACCAAGCAAGACACUAAAAGGGGCCAAACUUAGAUGGUCCUACGAUCAACUGCUACCGUUCCUUUCCCAGUCUCGGUGGCGUGAGGCCCCAGGUUGAGUGCUUCUUCCAAACUGGUUUUCUUGAGGUGGUUGGAAGCAGACUGGCCUAGAGGAUUCUAUC
rnacentral:lncRNA from 1 species